UCAGUAACACGUGGCUAACCUACCNUUAGGACCGGAACAACCCCGGGAAACUGGGACUAAUUCCGGAUAAGUGAGGAGGCCUGGAAUGGUUUCUCACUAAAAGGGCGUUAGGAGCAUGCUUCCUUUCGUUGCNUAAGGAUGGGGCCGCGGCCGAUCAGGUUGUUGGUGAGGUAAAGGCUCACCAAGCCUAUAACCGGUACGGGCCAUGAGAGUGGGAGCCCGGAGAUGGGCACUGAGACAAGGGCCCAGGCCCUACGGGGCGCAGCAGUUGCGAAAACUCCGCAAUGCGCGAAAGCGUGACGGGGUUAACCCGAGUGCUGUCCGCUGAGGAUAGCUUUUUUCUGGUGUAAUGAGUCAGACGAAUAAGGGGAGGGCAAGACUGGUGUCAGCCGCCGCGGUAAUACCAGCUCCCCGAGUGGUAGGGACGAUUAUUGGGCUUAAAGCGUCCGUAGCUGGCUUGACAAGUCUUUCGUUAAAUCCAGCGACUUAAUCGCUGGGCUGCGGGAGAUACUGUCUGGCUAGGGGGCGGAAGAGGUCGACGGUACUCUCGGGGUAGGGGUGAAAUCCUAUAAUCCUGAGAAGACCACCAGUGGCGAAGGCGGUCGACUAGAACGCGCUCGACGGUGAUGGACGAAAGCUGGGGUAGCAAACCGGAUUAGAUACCCGGGUAGUCCCAGCUGUAAACGAUGCGGGCUAGGUGUCGGAGUGGAUACGAGCCGCUUCGGUGCCGCAGGGAAACUGUUAAGCCCGCCGCCUGGGAAGUACGGUCGCAAGGCUGAAACUUAA
rnacentral:rRNA from 1 species